UUAAUCGAAACCAAAAAGAGGUAAAUUAUUGUUAAUAAUUUAAUUGAUAAAAUCCGAUUAAA
rnacentral:tRNA from 1 species